GACGAACCGUGCGAACGUUGUUCGGAAUCACUGGGCUUAAAGGGCGCGUAGGCGGGUGUGCAAGUCUGCGGUGAAAGCCUCCAGCUUAACUGGAGAAGUGCCGUGGAUACUGCUCAUCUCGAGGAGGGUAGGGGCAUCUGGAACGUUGGGUGGAGCGGUGAAAUGCGUUGAUAUCCAACGGAACUCCGGUGGCGAAGGCGAGGUGCUGGACCCUUUCUGACGCUGAAGCGCGAAAGCCAGGGGAGCGAACGGG
rnacentral:rRNA from 1 species